rnacentral:rRNA from 1 species
AGCUCCAAUAGCGUAUAUUAAUGUUGCUGCAGUUAAAAAGCUCGUAGUUGGAUUCCUGGCACGGGGUAGCCGGUCCGCCUUGCAAAAGGUGCGCACUGCGCACUGCGCGGCCUCGGCCAUCCUUGGGAAGAGCGGUCCUGGCAUUAGGUUGUCGGGGUCGGGAUUCCCGACGUUUACUGUGAAAAAAUCAGAGUGUUCAACGCAGGCUUACGCCUUGAAUACAUUAGCAUGGAAUAAUGAGAUAGGACCUUGGCGGUCUAUUUUGUUGGUUUGCACGCCGAGGUAAUGAUAAAAAGGGACGGUUGGGGUUCUUCGUAUUCAAUUGUCAGAGGUGAAAUUCUUGGAUUUAUGGAAGACGAACUGCUGCGAAAGCGUCGAACAAGGACGUUCUCA